UCCCAGCCCUUCGCUGCUCUACCAUAAAUUCACCACUUACUGGGCUAGGCUCAUCUACCACCCAAACGCGGCAGGUGGGGUUCAUAGCCCUAUUUUGGCUGAGCAAACAGCCUCGGAGAGGUCAGGCGACUCGCCCAAGGACAGGACCAAAGCCAAGUCCCCGUGACCAGGGCUGAACGUGAGGCACUUCCAUCACUGAAGCAUAGGCCCCAGGAGAGGAGGUGCAGCCUUUUGGGCAGACUUGGAAGAGAAGAGGCUUAGGGCUGGGAAAGGGGCAGCUAGGAGCAGAGAGGAAGAAGGCUGGGGUCGGGUGUGGCCUGGAGAGCACGAUCCUGGGAUUCGAAGGCGAGGUGGAGUGAGCCCAACCCGGGAGGGGCCCUCGCGCGAGCCCUGCCGCUGCCCGGCCCACAGCGCGUCCCCGGCCACCCCCAGACUGGCAGGACUGAGGGAGGACAUAGCAGAGCCCGGAAGCCUAGAUGUAGGGCAACUAAGUGGUCAUCUCAGAAGAGGUCCUGCUCGCCUGCCUGAGGGGCAAAGGAGGGGUAAGGCUGGAGGAUGAACAGAUGACCAUUGAAGAUCCCCUGGAGACCCAGACGCAAACUUGCCCAACUUUCCCACCAUGGCUUUCAGGAUGGGCCAGUCUUCUCUCUGCCUCAUCAUGGCACUGCCCCAUCCAGACAAGAGUGACAUUUCCUGAAGCUUCUCCAGUCAAAGCGCUUAUCACAUCGUGAGAGCUUGGUCUCUGGGACACACACACAACUCACCCAUGAGACUGUGGAUCUCAGCACCUAGGUGUGCAGUAAGAACUUGCUGUGUGAAUGAGUGCUGGGUGCGAAG